rnacentral:sRNA from 2 species
UGGCUGUAAAGGUCGCAUGAAAUUGCGUAUAUACAGGGAUGUGGUAGCUGGGUGGAGGGCUGGGGGCACAAUACGAUCUGCGGCUUCUUCUCCUCCCAAGCCCUUAGGAGAAGGGGAGAGUUCCCGACCACCAUUUGCGACCGGGAACAAACUCUUGAAGCGUGCAUCGGCGGAUGGGUGCUUGCUGAGAUGGAGAUCUUCCGGCCUCUCGAUUCUGGAUUCAUCCAGGGGGACGGAGUGGGAUUCAGCAGCCCUGUUAUCUUCCUCGUUUGCCUCUUGGACGACGGUUGGUUCCGAUUGGGGUGUUGGUUCCGGUUCCCGAAGUCCCGCUUCAGUAUUUUCUAGGUUUGUACCUUGCAUUUCAGCGUCUCGAGGUGCAGCAGCAUCAACGAUUGGCACA